CAUGAGUUUGUCAUUUGGUUAUUUGGAGUUUUCUGCAUGGUUCUGUUUGGUAAUUUGGACGUAGAGCACUGAAGAUACAGCGGUAAACAAGUACAAAAUAAUCUCUAGAUGCUGUGGUCUCCCCAGGGAAGGAUUUCGGUGCCGCAAGGCACACCACUGAUUUCACAGCAUCAGUGCCAAGGAAAACUCCGCUCCACCGCGGCCUGCUCCUAAGCGUUAAGCCGGUCUAAUGCAUCCUCAUAUGCGGAGGGAAAGAAAAGAUGACGCAGGAAAGAUGGUAAAAGCUACCUCUUAUUAAUUGCUUGUUAAUCACCAGUCGCUAGCCAAAUGCCCGAUACAUAUUUUAUAUGUCUGCCACAACUCUUGAGUUGAACUAAUUCUUCCAGUUUUAUAAAUGCAGGCUUAAUCGAAGCUGAAAGAGGCUAAGCAGUAAAUAGCAGAUAAAUUGAGCAGAUCUAGGCUGUAUUAGCACUACAUAAAUUAUUUAAGUGAGGCAUUAAGAGGACAAAGUAGACAAAGAAAUUGACUUUCUAUAAGAAUUAAGAUAUGGAGAUCUGUCGACUGCCAGGCUCCUGGAUUAUAUAUCUGUUCCCAGUAUGUUCCAUUGAGGUUGGAAUUACGCCAAGGUGACCCGCCCCUACCCCUACAGCCUAGGUUUUUGGUAGCAGAGCAAAUGGAACUGAUUAACCCGUUCUUCUGCUUUUGUUGCUCUUGUCCCUUAUGUACCCUUAAUGCACCAGCAUGAAAGAGGUGAUGAAUGGAAAACCCCCUCCUUCCUCGCCCUCUUCUCUCACUUUCCUUCCCAGUAUCCCCGUUUAUCUAUAUCUUCACAGCAGUACUAACAUCCACUGGCCGCUUGCACGACAGCUGCUGCUCCAAGCGCUUUACUUAUAGAAGCUCAUGCAAUGAGGUCAGCAGCUCCUUGAAGAAAGAAGAAACAAUCGUGUUGCCCGCAAAUAGGAAACCUAAAGAAAAUAGGAGCCAUCCUUGAUAUUACCUGGGGGAGCCCAUGAACAAAGUAGCCAUGGUGGAAGACGUGGAAGUUAUGAGUGGACUCAAGAAUAUGGAUUUCUACUCACUAAGGCUACAGUGAUAUUGUGAAUUCGCCUCUUUGAGACAGGUCAGAGAGGAGAAUGGUGUUAUGCCUUCUCUAUCCUUGAGACACUUCAGUGUCCUUCUAGCAAAACCCAGAGUAAUAUCACAUAGCCAAACACAGCACACAGAAGCACACAGAAGAUGGCUUUAAGGCUUCACAUAUAAAUAGAGUGAGUUCUCACAGGAGAAACUGCAGAGCACUGACUGAAGAGAAUUAACUGACAAGAGUGAUCACUCUACACAGCCAUGGAAGAAUCAGCAUCUGUUCCGGAUGGAAUGUUUCCACUGCCGCUGCUUUGGAGUCACCCAUGCUCUUUAAGGCAGCCCAGUAACUCAUGGGUUCUCCAGUGAAUAGUGAAACUGAACUCCAGUUUGUCAUCAUGACCUUAGAAAGAGGUGUGUAGACUUUGCCUAGUCCUCCCCAGAAAGACACUUCUGGGAGUUGCUGGAUAUCAUGAUUCUAUACCUUUCUUCCUAUGCCACCUAGCCUCUCACUUUUCCUUCA